AAGCGUUAAUCGGAAUUACUGGGCGUAAAGCGUGCGUAGACGGUUAUGUAAGUCAGGUGUGAAAGCCCCGGGCUCAACCUGGGAAUUGCAUUUGAGACUGCAUAGCUAGGGUGCGGAAGAGGGAAGCGGAAUUUCCGGUGUAGCGGUGAAAUGCGUAGAUAUCGGAAGGAACAUCAGUGGCGAAAGCGGCUUCCUGGUCCAGCACCGACGUUCAGGCACGAAAGCGUGGGGAGCAAACAGG
rnacentral:rRNA from 1 species